rnacentral:rRNA from 1 species
AUUGAACGCUGGCGGCAGGCCUAACACAUGCAAGUCGAACGGUAACAGGAAGAAGCUUGCUUCUUUGCUGACGAGUGGCGGGCGGGUGAGUAAUGUCUGGGAAACUGCCUGAUGGAGGGGGAUAACUACUGGAAACGGUAGCUAAUACCGCAUAACGUCGCAAGCCCAAAGAGGGGGACCUUCGGGCCUCUUGCCAUCGGCUGUGCCCAGAUGGGAUUAGCUAGUAGGUGGGGUAACGGCUCACCUAGGCGACGAUCCCUAGCUGGUCUGAGAGGAUGACCAGCCACACUGGAACUGAGACACGGUCCAGACUCCUACGGGAGGCAGCAGUGGGGAAUAUUGCACAAUGGGCGCAAGCCUGAUGCAGCCAUGCCGCGUGUAUGAAGAAGGCCUUCGGGUUGUAAAGUACUUUCAGCGGGGAGGAAGGGAGUAAAGUUAAUACCUUUGCUCAUUGACGUUACCCGCAGAAGAAGCACCGGCUAACUCCGUG